rnacentral:lncRNA from 1 species
UGAGUUCCAGCAUAAAAAGCAAUCCACUCAACCUACAAAUGAAACUGCAGAGUACUAAUUCACAUAAAAAAAAGCACAACAAUAUGCACUCCCUUCAUAUCUUGCAAUAACAAUGCCAGAAAAAAGAAGAAACACAUGAAUCUCUGAAGAAAAACUAAAACUCCACUAAUCCUCAUUAAUUACGACAUAUAUCUUCUGCCAACACAAAGGUUGUAAAUAAAAUCAAAAGCUCUGAAGAUAGUAAACCCUUAGAACUUUCAAAAAUCAGACACCAAACCAUCUAAUUAACCUAAUUCUUGACUUCGUAAAAAACACAUUAACAAUUACAUCUAAUGACUAAAUCUAAUGAUACCUUCGAAUAUGCAGCUGUAGAAGAACUGAGAGCAUAUGAACGAAGCUAAACCUAUAUGAGAUAGCAAACAGAAGAGUCAUUCCAAGUUGGUCACCGACGUUGGAGGUGACAGCCACGACGAGGUCCCAACGGUGAAGGUUGCUAAUGAGAGGGCGAUGGUGAUCGAGGCGCUGACCAGAGGUGAGCGACGAGGGGAAAAGUUAGAGAGAAU